GACGAACGCUGGCGGCGUGCUUAACACAUGCAAGUCGAACGGAAAGGCCCUGCUUUUGUGGGGUGCUCGAGUGGCGAACGGGUGAGUAACACGUGAGUAACCUGCCCUUGACUUUGGGAUAACUUCAGGAAACUGGGGCUAAUACCGGAUAGGAGCUCCUGCUGCAUGGUGGGGGUUGGAAAGUUUCGGCGGUUGGGGAUGGACUCGCGGCUUAUCAGCUUGUUGGUGGGGUAGUGGCUUACCAAGGCUUUGACGGGUAGCCGGCCUGAGAGGGUGACCGGCCACAUUGGGACUGAGAUACGGCCCAGACUCCUACGGGAGGCAGCAGUGGAGAAUAUUGCACAAUGGGCGGAAGCCUGAGGCAGCAACGCCGCGUGCGGGAUGACGGCCUUCGGGUUGUAAACCGCUUUCGCCUGUGACGAAGCGUGAGUGACGGUAAUGGGUAAAGAAGCACCGGCUAACUACGUG
rnacentral:rRNA from 1 species